rnacentral:rRNA from 1 species
GGGGGGGGGGGGGGGGGGGGCGAGGGGAGGGGAGGCGGGGGGGCGGACGGGGAGCUUGCUCCUCUGAGGGUAGCGGCGGACGGGUGAGUAACACGGGGAUGACCUACCUAUAAGACGGGGAUAACUUCGGGAAACCGGAGCUCAUAACGGCUGAUCUAUUGAACCGCAUGGUUCAAUAGGGCAAGACGGGUUUGCGGUCACUUAUAGAUGGAUCCGCGCCGCAUGAGCUAGUGGGUAAGGUAACGGCUUACCAAGGCAACGAGGCGUAGCCGACCUGAGAGGGUGAUCGGCCACACUGGAACUGAGACACGGUACAGACUCCUACGGGAGGCAGCAGUAGGGAAUCUUCCGCAAUGGGCGAAAGCCUGACGGAGCAACGCCGCGUGAGUGAUGAAGGUCUUCGGAUCGUAAAAAUCUGUUAUUAGGGAAGAACAAAUGUGUAAGUAACUAUGCACGUCUUGACGGUACCUAAUCAGAAAGCCACGGCUAACUACGUG